rnacentral:rRNA from 1 species
CGAACGUGGGUAACCUGCCCAUCAGAGGGGGAUAACAUCCGGAAACGGAUGCUAAAACCGCAUAGGUCUUCGAACCGCAUGGUUUGAAGAGGAAAAGAGGCGCAAGCUUCUGCUGAUGGAUGGACCCGCGGUGCAUUAGCUAGUUGGUGAGGUAACGGCUCACCAAGGCCGUGAUGCAUAGCCGACCUGAGAGGGUGAUCGGCCACAUUGGGACUGAGACACGGCCCAA